CCGUGCAAAGGUAGCGUAAUCACUUGUCUUUUAAAUAAAGACUAGUAUGAAUGGCAUCACGAGAACUAAUCUGUCUCCCUCCCCUAAUCAGUGAAACUGAUCUCCCCGUGCAGAAGCGGGGAUAAUAUCAUAAGACGAGAAGACCCUGUGGAGCUUCAAAUCAAAAAUCAACUGCUAUACCUCACCCUCUGAGGACAUACUCCCAUAGACUUGACAUAGAUUUUUAGCUGGGGCGGCUGUGGAGAAAAAAAAAUCCUCCACGAAAUUCUACACCGAGGGCUACUGCCCUAAGUAGUAAUAAAUUAAUUUAAUUGACCCAAUUUUUGAUCAACGAACCAAGUUACCCCAGGGAUAACAGCGCAAUCCACUUUAAGAGUCCAUAUCGACAAGUGGGCU
rnacentral:rRNA from 1 species